rnacentral:tRNA from 2 species
UGGGAUGUCGUCUAAUGGUAGGACAGCGGACUCUGGAUCCGUACGUGAGGGUUCAAAUCCUUCCAUCCCAGCCA